GCCCCGCGCGCCCAUCUCCUCCAUGCCCCCCGAGGAGCCGCUCUCCGGCGCCGAGCAAGCCAUCGCACUCUCCGUGAUGUUUGCCAGCUUCCUCAUCCCRUCUGCCUGGGUCCUGGCAAACCUGGAGCACUACAAGAGCAGACCGGAGUAAGGGAUGGCAGGAAGACUUCAGGAGCCAGUUGCGAGCACAAGUUUGAGUGAAGAUGACAAAACGAAUGUUUCUCUGUUGAAGAAUUCCUUAAGUUUGUUCAUUAAAAUACUG